rnacentral:rRNA from 1 species
GACGAACGCUGGCGGCGUGCUUAACACAUGCAAGUCGAACGGAAAGGCCCUGCUUUUGUGGGGUGCUCGAGUGGCGAACGGGUGAGUAACACGUGAGUAACCUGCCCUUGACUUUGGGAUAACUUCAGGAAACUGGGGCUAAUACCGGAUAGGAGCUCCUGCUGCAUGGUGGGGGUUGGAAAGUUUCGGCGGUUGGGGAUGGACUCGCGGCUUAUCAGCUUGUUGGUGGGGUAGUGGCUUACCAAGGCUUUGACGGGUAGCCGGCCUGAGAGGGUGACCGGCCACAUUGGGACUGCGAUACGGCGCAGACUCCUGCGGGAGGCAGCAGUGGGGAAUAUUGCACAAUGGGCGGAAGCCUGAUGCAGCAACGCCGCGUGCGGGAUGACGGCCUUCGGGUUGUAAACCGCUUUCGCCUGUGACGAAGCGUGAGUGACGGUAAUGGGUAAAGAAGCACCGGCUAACUACGUG